CAGAGGGUGCAAGCGUUAAUCGGAGUUACUGGGCGUAAAGCGUGCGUAGUCGGUUAUCUAAGUCGGGUGUGAAAUCCCCGGGCUCAACCUGGGAAUUGCAUUCGAUACUGGAUAGCUAGAGUUCGGCAGAGGGAAGCGGAAUUUCUGGUGUAGCGGUGAAAUGCGUAGAUAUCAGAAGGAACAUCAGUGGCGAAAGCGGCUUCCUGGACCAGAACUGACGAUCAGGCACGAAAGCGUGGGGAGCAAACAGGAUUAGAUACCCUGGUAGUCCACGCCAUAAACGAUGACAACUAGACGUUGGGAACAUAUGGUUCACAGUGUCGCAGCUAACGCGUUAAGUUGUCCGCCUGGGGAGUACGGCCGCAAGGUUG
rnacentral:rRNA from 1 species